CGAACGCUGGCGGCGUGCUUAAAACAUGCAAGUCGUACGAGAGCUUCGGCUCGAGUGGCAAACGGCUGAGUAACGCGUGGGUGACCUGCCUCGAAGUGGGGAAUAACUAGCCCGAAAGGGUGGCUAAUACCGCAUGUGAUGGAUCGUUCAUUCGGUUCAUUAAAGCAGUAACGUGCUUCGAGAGGGGCCCGCGUCCGAAUUUAAGCUAGUUGGUGGGGUAAAGGCCUACCAAGGCGACGAUCGGUAGCUGGUCUAAGAGGAUGAUCAGCCAGACUAGGGAACUGACGAACAACGGCCCAGACUCCUACGGGAGGCAGCAGUUAGGAAUUUUGGGCAAUGGGCGAAAGCCUGACCCAGCA
rnacentral:rRNA from 1 species